rnacentral:rRNA from 1 species
AUUGAACGCUGGCGGCAGGCCUAACACAUGCAAGUCGAACGAGUGGCGGACGGGUGAGUAAUGUCUGGGAAACUGCCUGCUGGAGGGGGAUAACUACUGGAAACGGUAGCUAAUACCGCAUACCAUCGGAUGUGCCCAGAUGGGAUUAGCUAGUAGGUGGGGUAACGGCUCACCUAGGCGACGAUCCCUAGCUGGUCUGAGAGGAUGACCAGCAACACUGGAACGGAGAAACGGUCCAGACGCGUACGGGAGGCAGCAGUGGGGAAUAUGGGACAAUGGGCGAAAGCCUGAUCCAGCCAUGCCGCGUGUGUGAAGAAGGUCUUCGGAUUGUAAAGCACUUUAAGUUGGGAGGCGUUACCAACAGAAUAAGCACCGGCUAACUUCGUGCCAGCAGCCGCGGUAAUAC